rnacentral:rRNA from 1 species
UACGUAGGGUGCAAGCGUUAAUCGGAAUUACUGGGCGUAAAGCGUGCGCAGGCGGUUUUGUAAGUCAGAUGUGAAAUCCCCGGGCUUAACCUGGGAACUGCGUUUGAAACUACAAGGCUAGAGUGUGGCAGAGGGGGGGUGGAAUUCCACGUGUAGCAGUGAAAUGCGUAGAGAUGUGGAGGAACACCGGUGGCGAAGGCGCCACUCUGGGCCGAAACUGACGCUGAGGAGCGAAAGCGUGGGUAGCAAACAGG